ACGGGUCCCACUUGGUCUAGUUUUGAUUAAACUUGGUGUCUAUCACUUUGUCAUAAUUUCACUCUCAUUAAAAAGUGCUUCAAAUUUGAUCAUCUGCCUUCAAUCCCAAAUAACAAUGUUCAAAUAUCACAGCUCAUUAUCCAGCAUUCUGCAAUUCCCCUAUUACAACACCCUUGAUUUCACUGAUUUUCUACCAACAAUGUCUGUCCUCUAAAUCUACUGGAAGCCCACAAAAGGUCAUGUUAGUUACAAGAAGGCGAAAGAGUAUACAAUUUCAAAAACUACUAAACCACUCUGCUUGGCAUGCAUCACAAAAGGUCAUAGUCAUCAUGUUGGUCUCCUCAGUGAAAUCAGGACCCACAAAACCAGAGUAGAAGCAAUUCUUAUAGCACCUAAGAAGCUAAUUUUCUUACAACAUGGAGGAAAAUGUACUAAUUCCAAGAACCAAACCAAAUGUGCAUAUUGCAACUGGUAUAAAGCAGCUAUACAAAAGUGAAGGUGACAAUGAUUGUCUCGACUCAAAGGGUAUCAUCCCAAAAUGUCACCCAUUCCUUCUAUCCUGAGAUGCUGUCUGUCCUGCUGAGUUACUCCAGCAUCUUGUAUUUAUCUUCAAUUAUUAUUUUAUCCAAGUAGCAAGUUCAAGAGAAAAGCAGUAUUGUUGCCAUUAGAUUCAUGCAUUUAGGAAGAAGUUAAAUGUUUUGCAGCAUUCAUUUUUAUGUAAUCCCGUGCUUAAACAAUUGUGAAGGAUGACCAAAGUGUUGAAAUGUGUCAAUGAUCUAACAGUAAUGCAGACAUCAUAUGAAUAAAAUAAAAAUAAAGGGAAUAUAAUAAACAUUGCCAUGUAUUUGGCCAGCUGUGGAGAUGAAAUGGAAGGCAGAGACCUGAAAUCAGACAUGCAGGAACCACAAAUUAACAAUUCUAGAUAAUUGUAAUUACCCAGUCCUGAGUUUAACACUGUUUUACUAAAUCAAAAAAGUGAACCUCAAGUUGGCAUUACAAAUUCUAUUUUUGCGCAUCAAUUAUAUUUUUUACCACCAAUCUUCCAAAUUCAAGCCUUCAAUGUGAUCCCUACAUGCAGUACUUGUCUAUGAUCACAAGGUAGCGGUGUAACAAGGUAGUUCCUGCUUUGUGAAACAACAGAGUGCUUCAAGUCAGAGUGUUGCCAAAAGACACAUAACAGGGUUUUAAAAACACUCUGAAAUAAGGAGAGGGAGGGAACAAGUUUUUGGGGAAAUUCCAUGGGUGUGCAUUUUGGCAAUUCAAGGAUAGAGAUCAGCACAGUAAUCUCAGGUUGUUGUUGGCGACUCAUUGGUUAUAGUAACAGGGAGGGAUACGACCACAAAGGAAUUGAAAACAAUGAAGGCAAUUUUAAGUGAAAAUCAACAAGAACUGCAGAUGAUGGUCAUCUAAAAUACAAACAGAAAACACCAGCCUUACUCAACAGCUCAUGUAACAUCGAUUGGACGAGAAACAGAAUUAACAUUUCAGGUCGAACAAACGCUUAUCUGAUAAAGUGUCUUCAACUUGGAUCAGACUCUUUCUCUUCCCACAGAUGAGACCUGACUUGCUGAAAAUUUUGUAGCACUCUGUUUUUAAUUAAGACAGUUUUAAAAAUAAUCAUAUUGCCUGACCUAGUUUCAUUACAGGUCCGUGAUAGACACAAAAUGUUGGAGUAACUCAGCAGGACAUGCAGCGUCUCUGGAGAGAAGGAAUGGGUGACGUUUCAGGAUGAGACCCUUCCUCAGACUCAUUACAGAAUUCUAUCAAGUUGUCAGAAAUGUUAUGAUGUUGAUUUCUCAGAUUACUCACAUGGGUUUCUAAAAAUGCUCUUGGCAAUGAAGACCUGCAUUGGGAAUUUACAACCAAAAUGUACUAUUUACCAUUUAUGCUUGACAAUUUAUAUGGCUGACAACAGCAAUAAACGUUUUAUGAUUUCAAUAAAAGCAUAUUAAUAUAACC